rnacentral:rRNA from 1 species
AUUGAACGCUGGCGGCAGGCCUAACACAUGCCAGUCGAACGGUAACAGGAAGAAGCUUGCUUCUUUGCUGACGAGUGGCGGACGGGUGAGUAAUGUCUGGGAAACUGCCUGAUGGAGGGGGAUAACUACUGGAAACGGUAGCUAAUACCGCAUAACGUCGCAAGACCAAAAAGGGGGACCUUCGGGCCUCUUGCCAUCGGAUGUGCCCAGAUGGGAUUAGCUAGUAGGUGGGGUAACGGCUCACCUAGGCGACGAUCCCUAGCUGGUCUGAGAGGAUGACCAGCCACACUGGAACUGAGACACGGUCCAGACUCCUACGGGAGGCAGCAGUGGGGAAUAUUGCACAAUGGGCGCAAGCCUGAUGCAGCCAUGCCGCGUGUAUGAGAAGGCCUUCGGGUUGUAAAGUACUUUCAGCGGGGAGGAAGGGAGUAAAGUUAAUACCUUUGCUCAUUGACGUUACCCGCAGAAGAAGCACCGGCUAACUCCGUG